rnacentral:rRNA from 1 species
GAUGAACGCUGGCGGCGUGCCUAGUACAUGCAAGUCGAGCGAACAGACGAGGAGCUUGCUCCUCUGACGUUAGCGGCGGACUGGUGAGUAACACGUGGAUAACCUACCUAUAAGACUGGGAUAACUUCGGGAAACCGGAGCUAAUACCGGAUAAUAUAUUGAACCGCAUGGUUCAAUAGUGAAAGACGGUUUUGCUGUCACUUAUAGAUGGAUCCGCGCCGCAUUAGCUAGUUGGUAAGGUAACGGCUUACCAAGGCAACGAUGCGUAGCCGACCUGAGAGGGUGAUCGGCCACACUGGAACUGAGACACGGUCCAGACUCCUACGGGAGGCAGCAGUAGGGAAUCUUCCGCAAUGGGCGAAAGCCUGACGGAGCAACGCCGCGUGAGUGAUGAAGGUCUUCGGAUCGUAAAACUCUGUUAUUAGGGAAGAACAAAUGUGUAAGUAACUAUGCACGUCUUGACGGUACCUAAUCAGAAAGCCACGGCUAACUACGUG